GACAGAGGGUGCAAACGUUGUUCGGAAUUACUGGGCGUAAAGCGCGUGUAGGCGGCUAUGCAAGUCGGAUGUGGAAGCCCUCGGCUCAACCGGGGAAGUGCACCCGAAACUGCAAAGCUAGAGUCUCGGAGAGGAUCGUGGAAUUCUCGGUGUAGAGGUGAAAUGCGUAGAUAUCUGGAGGAACACCGGUGGCGAAGGCGGCAUCCUGGACCGGCAUUGACGCUGAGGCGCGAAAGCCAGGGGAGCAAACGGG
rnacentral:rRNA from 1 species